rnacentral:rRNA from 1 species
AUUGAACGCUGGCGGCAGGCCUAACACAUGCAAGUCGAACGAGUGGCGGACGGGUGAGCAAUGUCUGGGAAACUGCCUGAUGGAGGGGGAUAACUACUGGAAACGGUAGCUAAUACCGCAUACAAUCAGAUGUGCCCAGAUGGGAUUAGCUAGUUGGUGGGGUAACGGCUCACCAAGGCGACGAUCCCUAGCUGGUCUGAGGGGAUGACCAGCCACACUGGGACUGAGACACGGUCCAGACGCCUACGGGAGGCAGCAGUAGGGAAUAUUGCACAAUGGGCGCAAGCCUGAUGGAGCCAUGCCGCGUGUGUGAAGAAGGCUUUCGGGUUGUAAAGUGCUUUCGGCGGGGAGGCGUUACCCGCAGAGGAAGCACCGGCUAACUCCGUGCCAGCAGCCGCGGUAAUAC